CUGUCACCUGUCAGAUGGUCAGUCUGCAGUAGUUAUGUUUAAUGACAGCUUUUUGAAAACGAUGCUUAGAAUUUGAUCACACUCACACCGACUUCUGAGAAUAGCUAAAUGUUCUACUGAUAUUCGCUAGCUACAGGCUUUAAAUUAAAACAGCUUUAACAGGCGACGUUACAGGUGUGUUAUACCCGUUAAAAGAUGGAGGGAGAAAAUCUGGUAAUGCGCUGGUUCAUCAUAGGGUGUCUGUGUGCCGGGGUAGUCGUCAGUGCCAUGCUGCUGCUGUGCUGUUGUAAUAGACGAGCAUCCAGAGACUCGAACGACAACGAAAACUAUCUGAUCGGCUACAACAACCAGAAGACAGAGAUAACAUCAGUAGCCUCGGCAGACAUGGAUGAAAUAACAGAUGCCAAUAGACAGUUAAAUCCAAAGUAGGAUGAUAAAGGAGUGAACAGAUACAAGUAUUAUGAUGUCACGUGAUCUGUCAACAUAUUUUAAUUGACUUUUGUUACAAACUCUCAAGAUUGUGUAGGAGGAGGAUGCCAUGGAGUCAAAGGUGUCCUAAAACAACGUUAUAAUAUCGAAUCCACACGACAAAACUAUUUACAUUGUAGUUAUACCACAUCAAAUACUGGUACCACUAAAUCCAAAUAGUUUAUACAGAGGAGAUUUCCAUUGGUUGAUGACUGACAAUACUACAUAUACAUGUGAUGCACGUAUAUGGUAUUGCUUUCCAGGAAACCAUGCACACUAUACUCUCUUCUAAAAUCCUCUUUCGGAUUGGAAAUCUAAACAAGUGAGCUGUGUUUCAAAUGUCUUGUCUGAAUUCUGUUUGAUUGAAUUGUAUGUGAAAUGGAAACAGUGUACCACUUAAAAAUAUUGCGUGCGCAACUUAACUUACAUAAAUGAAUGAUUCAUCUCAUUUAAUAGAUAUAGUAGACUUUCUGGGUAUUAACGUGAAGUAAACUUUAAUGCUGACAACGCAAAUGAAAAGGCUUUUGCUUUGAAAUAAAAAACAUAAUUUUUGAAAUAGUUUGGAGAUAUUCCCCCGGAUAUAUAUAUACAUCUUCCAGACUCGUAUCCAAGCAGACUUCAACUAAAAUGUCUGACACUUCCUUGGAAACGGUGACCGGAAGAUACAUAUGUACAAGUAUAUUUAUCUCGGGGAACAUCUCCAAACCAUUGUAAUUUUUUUUUUUUAUUUCAAAACGAAAGUUUUUUUAACUUGCACUGUCAGCUUUAAAUACGUUUGAUUGGUUUAUACGGUGACAUUUGACCAGGACUUCUUUUUAAUCGCGUGGUUCAAUGGGUUUUGAUUGGCUAACAUUUUAAAAGCGUUUCACAGGGUCGCGGAAGUGAUGACACACAGAAAGUAGAUUACAAUUGUUUUUGUGAGUGUGUGAUAUUUCCUUUAUAUAUAGAUUUCUAUCAAUGUAUUGCUUGAAAAAUAAUAAACUCGCUAAUCAUUGGUUAUGAUCAGCAAUAAAUUGUAAUAUCUGCACACAUUUCAUUAAUUGUCAGUUUGGCAUAUUAAUUAGCGGCUUUUCACAGUAGGUCAUAUCCUUACACCUGAUUUUGUGAAAAGAGCACAUGUUGAAAAAUAAAAGUUAUUUCACUCUCAUGUGGUAACUUCAUUAAAACUACGACGCAAACAAAUAGAAAAUUAAUUUUAUUAUAACAAGCGUAGGAAAUGUAUAAUUCAAUCUAACUAUCCAAUCAGAUAAAUUAAUGUAUAUAGAAGAGCUUGCUAAAACAAACGGUACAUUGAUAAAUUCUCAUAAAUAUUAAUAAACAGAUCGCGAUUCCUUCAGCAGCAAUCAUAAAAUAGAAUCGAAUACGUCAACAACCAACCAAUAUUCAUUAUGGUACAACUGUAGAUACAGAAUGAAGUUAUAUGACAAAUUCACACAUAUAAACUUAUGAAUACACAAUGGACGAUGAUUUUCAUUCCGCCAUUAAUCUGUUAGUCGAUACGAUACCUAUCCGUACAAGUUAGGAUUAUAUUCCAUUUUACUGUAACUUUUAUGAGCACCAUUACCAGUGUAAUUCAUGGCUAAAACGAACAACAUAGAAAUAACAUAAUAAUAAAUUGUAUACAUAAUACUAAAUUAGGAUACAGGACCGCCUUCCUCAGUUCUAACGCCUGUUUAAUAACAUACAUGUUUAUUCAGCUAGAUCAAUUCACAACAACAGGUUUGGAUGUUAUAUAAAAAUAUGACUAAAUAGUUGUGUGUUUAAAAAAA